GGGGUCCACAACCUCAAUGAUCUGGACAUCUUAAUCCACAGUGAGCAGUCCCACUUAACGGGUCAUCUCAUUGAAAUGUAAGCAGUCUCAUCAGGCCAUCUUAUUCAAGCAUGAGCAGUCUAAUUUAUUGGCCAUCUCGUUGACAUGUAAGCAGUUCCACUCAUCAAGGCGUCUCAUUCAAACGUGAGCAGUCACUUACCAAGCCAUCUCAUUAAACCAUGUGCGGUCUCCCUAACAGAGCCAUUUUAAUAAACAUGGACCAGUCUCAAAUGCCCAGCUAUUUCAUUCAAGCAGAAGAGGUCUCACUUACCAGGCCAUCUCAUUCUAUGGUCAGAAGCCUCACGUACUAGGCCAUCUUAUUCAUGUACAAAAAGCCUCACUUACCGGGCCAUCUCAUUGAAGUGUAAGCAAUCACUCACUACACCAUCUCAUUCAAUGGUGAGUUGUGUCAAUUAGAAAAAAGGAGGUAACAUUCAGUUGAAAACAAUUUCACAUUAAGCUAGGACAUCUCAUUCAAUUGCACUCUUGAUUACAAGAAGACAAUCUCAUUAAAUAGACAGCAGUCUUGUUUAUAAGAGGACAAUAUUAUUGAACAUUAAAAAAAGCACUCUCCUUUACUAAAAAGCAAUCUCGUCAGAGAGCAGUCUGCAUUGCUAGAAGGCAAAUCUCGUGGAAUAAAGAGCUUUCUCUAAUCAUAUCCCAAGAAAGCAGUCUUUCACUCACAUCAGUCUCAUUCUUUAGCAAGCAGUCUAAUGCCUAAGAAGGCAAUUUUUCAUUUACUAGCACAUUUUCCAAGGGUCCCGCUAUAAGAGGAGCAAUAAAAC